GGGAAGCCUAGAAUGAUCUCGGUCAUAAUGAGUCAGAAUGUAUAUAUACAACCAUUCCUUUCAGCUACGAUACAAAAGAAGCAAAUAUUUGCCACUGGAAAAAAUAUUCAAAGACACUCUUAGGUUAAUCUAUAGCUGAUGACAGUCAGUCUAGUCUACAUAGCAAGCAGCUUCAAGAUAUGAUUACUUAGCUAAGCGGGAAAUGGGACGUGACUGCUGCCUCAUUCCCACGCCUCUCUGGACCUGAUAAUUUAGAGGAAGCUCACAUUCGCAAGAUAAAAAUUUUCUUUUCCUUCUCAGUAUUAAAUAUGCUGUCACAAUA
rnacentral:lncRNA from 10 species